rnacentral:rRNA from 1 species
GUGAGGAAUAUUGCGCAAUGGAGGCAACUCUGACGCAGCCAUGCCGCGUGCAGGAAGAAGGCGCUACGCGUUGUAAACUGCUUUUAACCGGGAAGAAACCCCAGGACGUGUCCUGGGUUGACGGUACCGGAGGAAUAAGCACCGGCUAACUUCGUGCCAGCAGCCGCGGUAAUACGAAGGGUGCAAGCGUUAUCCGGAUUCAUUGGGUUUAAAGGGUGCGUAGGCGGCGCGUUAAGUCAGUGGUGAAAUCCUGCAGCUUAACUGUAGACUUGCCAUUGAUACUGGCGCUCUUGAGUGCGCUUGAAGUGGGCGGAAUGUGCCGUGUAGCGGUGAAAUGCUUAGAUAUGGCACAGAACACCAAUUGCGAAGGCAGCUCACUAAGGCGAUACUGACGCUGAGGCACGAAAGCGUGGGGAUCGAACAGGAUUAGAUACCCGUGUAGUCC